AUUAGAGUUUGAUCCUGGCUCAGGACGAACGCUGGCGGCGUGCCUAACACAUGCAAGUCGAACGGAGGAUACGAGGAAGCUUGCGAAUCAUAUCCUUAGUGGCGGACGGGUGAGUAACGCGUGGGCAACCAACCCAAAACACCGGGACAACCCUGGGAAACUAGGGCUAAUACCGGAUACCUUCCUUGGGAGGCAUCUCCCGAAGAAGAAAGGCAGCCUCUGAAAAUGCAGCCGAUUAUGGACGGACCCGCGUCUGAUUAGCUAGUUGGUAGAGUAACGGCCUACCAAGGCAACGAUCAGUAGCCGGCCUGAGAGGGUGGCCGGCCACACUGGGACUGAGACACGGCCCAGACUCCUACGGGAGGCAGCAGUGGGGAAUAUUGCGCAAUGGGCGAAAGCCUGACGCAGCAACGCCGCGUGAGUGACGAAGGCCUUCGGGUUGUAAAGCUCUGUCUACCGGGACGAAGACUUAAUGGUUAAUAGCCAAAAAGAUGACGGUACCGGAAGAGGAAGCCCCGGCUAACUACGUGCCAGCAGCCGCGGUAAAACGUAGGGGGCAAGCGUUGUCCGGAAUUACUGGGCGUAAAGCGCGUGUAGGCGGAAACUUAAGUCAGAUGUGAAAACUCGGGGCUCAACCCCGAGCCGGCAUCUGAAACUGGGUUUCUUGAGGGUGGGAGAGGAAAGCGGAAUUCCUAGUGUAGCGGUGAAAUGCG
rnacentral:rRNA from 1 species